rnacentral:lncRNA from 1 species
UGUCUUGUCACUGGACUUCAGUGACUCUGGGAGAGAGAAUAAGGUUGAUAACUUUGUGCAAUUCUGCCUCAUUUAAAUCCAACUCAUGCAGAAGUCAAGACAUUAUCCUGUAAUAUCAUUGAUCCUCUUAGAAAAUAAAAGACAAAACCCCCUACGACAAUUCCUAACACUUCUGCAUUUCAGCAACACUCUAAGAUUUACAAAGCAUUUUUCUCAUUAUAAUCCUGUAAGGUAGGUAAUAUGAAUAAUAUCCAUACUCUGUCCUAUCUCAACUGACAGAUGAGAAAUCUAAAGCUCUGAGAAGUUUGUGGUUUACUAAGGUCACACCCUAAAUGUUAAGGUCAGAGCCUGAUCUUCUGAUUCAAAGACAGAUUUGCUUUUUGCUCCACCAUCUGAACCACAUCAACUUCUCAGCAGGGCAGCCACUGGCUCUGUGAAAAAGAGGAGUUGGAAAUUGAGGGAAGUCAGGCACCCAAAACUUUAAUGGCCUGGGAGUCCCUUCUCUUGAAUACAGCCACCCCAAGAUGUCUUCCUUGCUGCCUUGUCUCCAACUCCAGUGAGCUGAUGGUUAAGUUAAAGUAUUGGACCCCGGAGGAGAACAGGAUUCGACUGCAGGAAUCCUACUGACACUAGGACUGGGCUUCUGGGAUAUAUGUCACUACUACUUCCACAUCUAUGGCCAUCAGAAAUACUCACCUGGCUAUAGCUCUUCCUAUCUCAAUGGAAUGUGGGGAAAUAGUAUCUUCUCACUGGAGAGUCAGACAUUUCUUCCAUUUGGUUUUGAAUUGGGAAAGAGUCACUGGAACACAUCUACUGGCUGGAGGGACCAUUAUACCUUUCAGGACCAUGUUCAGGCUAUGAUUUCUCUUGGGUCAAGUAUUCAUUGCUUCUUUGUGCCAUUAAGGUGACUCUGGGUUCUCAAUAAGAAUUAGACCCCAGGCAGGGCCUGCCAGUCUGGUGUAAGACUGGUGAUGGACUAAACACUCAUUCUCUGACCCUUGUCAUUUAGGACCAAACAAGCAAAAUUCAGCAUGGCUCAAAUGACUGGCCCCCAAGCCAAGCCUUUUGUUUUUAAAACUCUGGAGAGAAAAAAAGAGAAUGAUGCAAUGGAAAGCAACAAGGC